rnacentral:rRNA from 1 species
UGGGGAAUAUUGGACAAUGGGCGAAGGCCUGAUCCAGCCAUGCCGCGUGAGUGAUGAAGGCCUUAGGGUUGUAAAGCUCUUUUAGUCGGAAAGAAAGAGUUGCAAUGAAUAAUUGUGAUUUAUGACGGUACCGACAGAAAAAGCACCGGCUAACUACGUGCCAGCAGCCGCGGUAAUACGUAGGGUGCGAGCGUUAAUCGGAAUUACUGGGCGUAAAGGGUGCGCAGGCGGUCUUGCAAGUCAGAUGUGAAAGCCCCGGGCUUAACCUGGGAAUUGCGUUUGAAACUACAAGACUAGAGUGCAGCAGAGGGGAGUGGAAUUCCAUGUGUAGCAGUGAAAUGCGUAGAGAUGUGGAAGAACACCGAUGGCGAAGGCAGCUCCCUGGGUUGACACUGACGCUCAUGCACGAAAGCGUGGGGAGCAAACA